UUGCAAGCAAGAACGAAAAUGAUGACCGAAGCAUUCUAAUGCAAAUUUGCAGACAUUACACAUCCUAAGACACAAAGUUUCUUUUGAUAAUUGGGGAGGAACAUGAGAAAAUGUUUAACAGAUGCAAAAUACUAACAUAUGAUUCAUCCAUUUCUUUUCAGACAAAGGUUCCAGAAAACAAGUACUCAGUCAUGAAACAUUUCUUACAAUCAUAAACAGAGAAAUAUCGACCAAAUUUUGAGAGCCUCUCAAAAUGUCCAAGUGAGGUUUAUAGUCAACAUCAACGUCAAAAUGUGUUCAAAAGAUCCAAAUUGAUAUUAACUGCAUCUUAUGGCAGACAAUAAAGACCGCUAAAUAGUAUUCUAUGCUGCUAAGAAUCAUUGAAAGACAUGCAAACUGACCAUAGAAGACUUCAAAGCAAACAGCAGAAGAAUAAAAUGCUAUGCAAAUUGUGACUUAAACACAAGUGAAGAAAACUAUAUCUCAACAGAAGAAAGACAAA
rnacentral:misc_RNA from 1 species